rnacentral:lncRNA from 10 species
AUCUCAGUGACUGUGAAAGCUCAAGCCAUUUGCACUGGGAGAGAAGCCAGCCAGAAGUUUUGCUGGCAAUGGUUUGGUUUCUAGAACAGCAUCAAAACUUGUCUCCCAUGUUUUGUAAGUGGUUUAACCCACAAGAUAUCACGCAUUUGAAACUUUUAAGAAGAAACUUAAUUUCAUCUGUGAAUGCAGAAGCAAAUAUGAGGGCAUGGGCAUUUAAAUAUGAAGUAUUUCUUGAAAGCCACCUACUGGAGAGUAAGUUUGGUGCAAUAAUUUAAGAAAAGAUAAAAAAGAAACAGGAAAAUUGGGACAACGGACAGCAUGAUGGAGCCACCGUGCAAGCCCUCAAUAGUCUGCCUCCAGGUUGUGUCAAAUAAAGUAAAAAGAACAAAAUCUCUGGAGUACUUAAGCAAUGCUUUUGCUUGUUUCCACUGCUAGCAACUGGUGUAAUUCCAAGGGUUUUACCAGUUCAAAAAACUGGAUCUGGGUUUGUGGUAUUGGGUUUCUGACAAUCAAUAUAAAAUAUUGAUUAUAUUUUAAGGCAUAAGUACUCUUUCCAGUGGUAAAGAAGACAAUGAUAGUCUAUGGUGUAAUACGGUAAAAAGAUUUGUAAAAUAUUACUACUGGAUUC